rnacentral:rRNA from 1 species
AGCGAACGCUGGCGGCAGGCUUAACACAUGCAAGUCGAGCGGGCGUAGCAAUACGUCAGCGGCAGACGGGUGAGUAACACGUGGGAACGUACCUUUUGGUUCGGAACAACACAGGGAAACUUGUGCUAAUACCGAAUAAGCCCUUACGGGGAAAGAUUUAUCGCCGAAAGAUCGGCCCGCGUCUGAUUAGCUUGUUGGUGAGGUAACGGCUCACCAAGGCGACGAUCAGUAGCUGGUCNGAGAGGAUGAUCAGCCACACUGGGACUGAGACACGGCCCAGACUCCUACGGGAGGCAGCAGUGGGGAAUAUUGGACAAUGGGGGCAACCCUGAUCCAGCCAUGCCGCGUGAGUGAUGAAGGCCUAGGGUUGUAAAGCUCUUUUGUGCGGGAAGAUAAUGACGGUACCGCAAGAAUAA